ensembl:lncRNA
UGGAAACAAAAUUCAAAGUGUCAUUACAACCUUCAAACUGUAAAUUCUGAGUGCCAGCUCACUGUAAAUGUUGCUUUGACCCUGUGAAACCUCUGAGAUAAUUACCAAAAAGUAAGGUGGAAGAUUCAGGAAAUAUAGAGAACUUUUGAAAUGCAUCUCUGAAAUGACAAAGGAUCCUCUAAAAAUGGGUUUGUAAUUUGAGCAAAGGGAGGAGUGGAAAAAGCGUGAAAAUGAGAGAGGAGGAAGGUGGCAGCUAAACUUACAAUGCAAAGGAAGUGGCGUACAUCAUUUAUUUGAGAAUUAAAGAAGUAUUUCACACACCUGUAUGUUUUGUGGCAGAGGUGGCUCACAAUAAUUAGAGAUCUUUGUGAUUCUUUUCUGAGAAUGACUACAAAACUACUGCUCCAAAUGCACAUGUUUGACAAAAUGCAUGAACCCAUUUAUCACAGAUUGAAAUCCCAGACGCCCUCAAUACCAUCUCAAGUCAGCAAAAGUGAUUGCCAACCUCCCCUGGGUCAAAAAAAGGCCCAUUAGAAGCAUUGCUCUCCUACCCAUCUGCUGAAACUGUUACUGGGGCAGCUAAUUAUGUUUCACUCUUUCACUUCCAGAACAAAAUACAUCUCUCAGUGUCUAGAUCAUUGAUUACAUUAGCUGGAAAUAUUUGCUGUAAUCAUAGACAGUGAACUUCACCCUGAAAAUAGAGGCAACAAGCUUUCCACUUUUUUACUUUGUAAAACUGUUUAGAACAGGGGAGAAAACAGGGACAGCAAAUGUACUGCAGGAGCAAUUUCAGCUUAUUGAAAAUAUCCAAGUGGAGACAACAUGGAACCAGAAAUUCUCUGAAGUCAUUAUCAUCGGAAAAGGUCUUAAACCAGAAUAAUACAUUCACAUAUGCCUUUUCUCUUUCUCAGAAAUAUAUUCUUUUUGGAUUCAUAAAGCUGUUAUUUUCUUUUUAUUGCCACUCCCACAGUUUUGUUGAUGGUUUGGUUUUGCAUCAUCUGAAGGAGUUUUAAGCAAACUAAUGGAAAAGGGCAAGAGACCAAAGACAAUUUUUUCUAGGAAGAAAAUUUUAUGUACCUUUCCCUAGACUCUACUAUUUCAAGUUGAACUUAUAUGUGAUGCUCUUGAAAUUCUUCCAGACAAAACUAGAGAAGGUCCUGAGGAUUGCUCGUAAAUGCUUUUUUUGAAUUGUGUCAGAAGUGGCUGAAACAAUUUAGUUACUGUGUACAAGCACCAUAACCUUUAUGGCGUUGGAAAGUUGCUUUUUGUGAGCUGGGUGGCCAAAAAUGUGCUAAAGUUGGCCCCACUUCAGUUAGGGAUGACUCCAGAUUAAGAACAUAGGAGAACCAUAAUUUGUUUGAAAUGCUUGUGUAGACUCCCGUUGGAUCUUCAGACAUCACUUCUGACAUCCUGAGAUCUGAAAUGCUGAGUUGCAGACAAAACCUGCUCACAAUAAGCUAAUGAAAAACUUGUUGAAUCCAAUGGAAGAGGAUUGCUACACAGCUCCAAAGAUAAGUGUAGGGAAAAGUGAAGGGAAAACUUCUUCACCAUGCAGUUGAUCAGAGAUGUAGUUAAUCACAUAGGCAUAUUUUCUUUGCUUAUCUGCUGGUAUAUGUGUGUGUUAUCAGCCGUGAAAUUGGUUACAGCACUGGAAACAACCACUUUCAGAACAGGCUUUGUAUCCUUGCUCUCUCCGCAGGAAUUUUGAAAAUACUUCUUACCUGACUGCUGGCAGGAUAUUUGUAAUACUUUGCUGGCACAUCAAUAACAAUACACAUAAAAAGAGUUUCAGAAUUGUACACCAAAUUUUGCCCUUCACUAUACUAAUGUUAAUACAGAGAAAAGCUACUGCAUUUCUACUUGUGUAACCAAAAGCAGAGUUUUGCCUUAAGCAACAUGAGUGCAAAUGGCAAGGUAUUAAAAACACAGAUGUAGAGAGAGAGGUCCAUGUGUGGAAAUGGUUUAUAUUAAGAGGCAGUUGCUGAAGCAUAUGAGAGUUUUAGCCAUGCAAGGACCAUUUGGCCCAAUAUUUUUCUUUGUGAGUAGUAGUUUUAAAGAAAUCUAUCAUAAAGAUAAUUUGUUCUGCCUACCUAUAAGCGCUUCAGAUCACUCCCCCUCUCCUUGCACCCUUUUAUAUUUUUCCAGACUGAUGCUGGACCAGACCUGAAAUCUUGGUUGUCCGUAUACACAGUUGGGGUUAACAGUGCAGCCCUUAUUUUUUCACAUCAUCAGGGAAUCAUUUCUGGUGAAUCAGAAUGUUGUCACUUGUGACAAAUGGCUGCAUAGAAUGCAUAAACCUUUUAUUUUCCCUGCAUAUUAAAGGCCUGCUAAAUUCUCUGCACAAAAUCUCAAUGUUUCAUUGUAACACAUGCAGAAAUUUCUGAGGAGAAAGGUUUAGUAAAAUACAAAUUCAGGUCUCUUCAUGUUGAAUAAAGAUGAUAGAAAAUAUUAAGCA